UUGAGUGAGUUUUGCGGGACGUGGUAAAAGUCUGGUCCACAUUUCAUUUCGCAUUCUGUGGGCUCCAAUUCCGUGUCCUUAAGUAUUUCUGGGGAAGCCGGGUGUUGGGCUCUAUUUAAGUGAGACGUUUCUGAAACUAACAGGCCACAGCUGGAGCCUGGAAGGAGGCAGGUGUGGCCCCUGGAGUGCCUGCUGCCUCCUGCAGCGCCUGAGCAUCCCACAGGGGGCGCCGGAGCCCAGGCCCCACCCAGGGGGCAUGAAUGUGCAGUAUGCCUCCUCUGCCUGCACUGACAGGAGCCAGCCUGUGCUGGGGAGGCCUGAGGAGGACGUGGGGACACGUCCAUGCUGAUGAGCCGCAGCUUCAGGAAAUUGUGGGCUCACAUCCACACUGAAAGGAGCCCCUGGGCCGCCUCAGGACCCAGGGGUUGUCUUCAGGAAGAUGUGGGCCCGCAUCCACACUGACAGGAGCACCUGGGCCACCUCAGGACAUAAGUUGAGGCUUCUGGAAGCUGGGGGCCGCAUUCACGGUGACAGGAGCCCCUGCCUCCUCAGAACCCUCGGUGACGCUUUGGGAGGACGUUGGGUGACAUCGACACAACAGGAUGCUGAUUUCCUUAGGACCCCCGGUGUUGACUUAGGGAAAUAUGGGAUGCGUCCAUGCAGACAGAAGACCCCCGCCUUGUCAGGGCCUUUGGUGAGGCCUAAGAAAAAUGUGGGUGCCUCAUCCACACUGACAGGAUUCUCCAGCCUCCUCAGGACCCACUGUGAAGGACCUGCACUAAAGCUUCAGGAAAUAUGGGGCUGCGUCUAUGCUGACAGGAGCCCACAGCCUCCUCAGGAUCCGCGGUGAGUUUUCAGGGGACGUGGGGCCAUGUCCAGGCUGACAGGAGCCCCCGGCCACCUGAGGACCUUCUGUGAGUCUUCCAGAGGAUGUGAGGCAUAGUCCACAGUGACAGGAGACCCGCCGUCCUCAGGACCCGCUGACUAUCACUCAGGAACACGUGGGGCCAUGUCCACACUCACAGGAGCCCUGCUUCCUCAGGACCCCCUGGAGGACUUUGGAGGCGCUGUUGGGGGCCUCGUCCACAUCAGAAGGGACUACUCAGAACCACAGGACUGUUGUGCCCAAGAUUGCGAAUCCGAGAAACCACCGAGAUGUCGACUCCGAU